GCCCCUUCGAGUCGAUGUCGGACACAUGUUUACAAACUGAAAAUAGAAUGAUUUGUGAAGUUGAACGUUUUCUCACCAAAGAAUACGUAUGUAGACAUGCACACUCAUUUAAUCUGCAGCUACGAAGUACUUUGUCACUCCUCUGGAACAUUAUUCUAAGCAGAAUUAUUCAGAUUCAUAUAUUCUAAGAAACUUGUGUGAAUUGUUUACGAGGAAAUUCCAACUGUCACAUUAACAAGGAUGAGCACUCUUGACUCUGCUUGGGAUUUCCUAGUGAUAAUUGCAUCGAGUGAUGAAAGAGCUGACGGCGACAUUUUAAUGUAUGAUUGGCUUGGACCAUUGGAAUGAAGUCAUUUCAUGGUGCCACCACUUGGGAUGGUAUUAGCUGCAAAUAUAGACUUGUACUUAGCACUUAUUGCCUUUAAGAAGUAUGAGAUCCAUUUUGUGCUAACACCUACCAUGACACAGAAUCUUGGUUUAUGCAGUCUCAUAGGAGUAACCUGUCUAAAGCAUUUAGCAAUGGGAUUGGAGCCUGAGACGUGUGACUCAUCUGAAUACUGAAUUUUGAUACCAAGCAUGACCGUGAUUUGCCAGAAGAUCAUCUGUUUGGAUGUGACAUGGAAUAAACAGCAUAGUGAAAAUAAGUCAAGUUUUGGUUUGUGACGACAACUUUUAAACACACUGUGUAUCAUUUUUAAAUUUUGAUUUGACAACAUAAAUCCACAAAUAUGAGCAUAUCAAUUGCUCUCAGUUUUUCAAGUGAAAUAGUUUUUGUAACAGAAAUACAUGUACCAGUAAUUACAUUGGACAAAAUGUUAUUUUUAAAUAUAAUAAUAUUUUGUUUGUGUUGCAUGUUGACCUCUUUAUUAAGGUCUUCCCUUUCAAAGUUUAGACUUACUUAUUCUAAUGAUUUAGAUAGAUCCUCUGUCUUCAGCAGGAAUAUAAGAUCUUGUAAUACAUGUAUGUGUAUUUUUACAGUAUAAUGUAAAAAAAAAAUUAUUUUGGCACAUACAAUUAAAUAAAGUCAUAUACAUGUGUAUGAUUCCAAGGAAUUCAAUACAUAGGGCAUGUACAUGUAGUUUUCUAAAACAAGAUUAAAGAGAUGUCCAGUCACAUUUCAACUGCAAAACUGUGCCUGUUGCAUACUUAUUAGCCCAUCUGAGCUAAAGGAACAAGUAAAUUUUUUAAAAACAUAAUUUUAUCCAUUAUCAUCAUUGUCUAAAAUUUCACAAUAUCAUUUUCCAGAACCAAAGUGAAACUUGGCAUAGAGCAUCCUUAGUGUAGGGGAUUCAAAUUGUUCUUAUGCAGGGCAAUACUUUCAAAGAGAUUUUUUUCUUUAAUGCUGUAAAUGUAUUAUAUUUAGCAUGUACAAUAUUUGGUGGAAAUUGACUUUUGAAUAAGUUAGCGUAGAUAUUCUUAUUUAUAUUUAUGUACAAAACUUUUAGCUUUGUACUUGAUUUAGUGAUUGCUGCAUUCCACAAAAGCCGCUAAAAAAGAAUACACAGCCAUAUGUAAUAUGUUUACAAUAAACCUUUCAGAGAAUUUUACACUCCUAUUGAGGUACCACCAGUUGCUAGUGGAAAGCUGCAAAUUCGAAAUAUACACAACACAUUUCUGUGCGUUUAUUAUAAAAGUAUUGUUCUACUUACUGAUUGCAACUAAUGAAGAUUGUUCAUCAUUAUUGUAAAUACAUUUGGAUUUUUUGAUUUAUUAUAUAAAAAUUUGUUUAUUUUA